ensembl:lncRNA novel transcript, antisense to ELP4
AAACCUCCCUCCUCACCAAUUUGAAAAGGAUCUUGGUGAACAGACUGGGCAAAGCGAGAGCCCUCUUUCUACGUGCCUUAGGGUGGUGAUAGGGCAGCCAAAGACCAAGUGCUUCAGCUGAGGGAUACAGAUUAGAGAUGAGGACCUAACUCCAAAGAGUAACUCUUUGCUGAAGUGACUUCACAGAGGGAAGUAAGCAGUAAUUCAACUCAGCCUUAGAUAGAAAGCUUUUCUAUGAAUAAUGGGAAAUAAAGUUAAAGGAAAUGAUGCAAAUAAAGCAAGAAAAAAAUACUGAUGAUCAGAAAAAAGAAAAGUAUUUGAGGUCUGAAAGAUCCUCAAAAUAGAGAAGAGCCAAUGACUUCAUACACCGAAUCGGCUAAAUCCUGUCUCACAUUUUCACUGUAGCCAGAAGAGCCACUCUGGUCAAGUAGAAACCCUGAAGUUUGCCGUCAUUUCAUCCAGGGUCUGCAGGAUAAACUCAACUGGGAAGAGUACUCCUGUCAUGGACCCUCAGAUGAACAAGCAUUUAUAAAGGCUACUGACAAUAUUUCUUAAUCAAAAGAGUUUUGAACAGUUG